CGCCAAUCAGUCAAAUCUUUUUGUGGAUAAUAAUGAUUUAGGAUAGAAAGCAGCAUAGGUCUUGACCAAGACAAGUUGGGUUUUAAAGUUUUAAACAAUACAUCCAAAGUUUUUAUGAGAUUUUCGUUGAUGGAAACAUUGUAGAUAAUUAAGGACUUUUAGAAAUAGGGUGCCAAAUUAAUUCUUUAGUAAUUUUUUGUAAUUCUUUUUGAGGGGGCAUGGUUUGGCCUGUGACUUGAAUAGCCACCGUUUGAGUGAGCUCCAGGGACACUAGAUCUAUAUCAUUCAUAAAAGGCCU